GUUUUUUCAAUUAAAAGGCUUGUAAUGCGCCAUAAAAACCAUCACUCAGAAGGCUGAACUGUGCCUUUAAAUAAGCACACAAACAGACAAACUUCGCUUCUUGAUAUGAAAUUCAGUUUAUUUUGAAAUAAGAAAAUACAGAUUAGUGAACAAAUACAAACUAAAGAGUUAAUUACAGUAAAAGUACACAGGUAAGAUAACUAUAAACUAUGUUAUAUGCAAUUAAGGUUUAUAAAAUACUAAGUAACUAUUUAUAAAUCUAAAUUAAUAGUGUUAGUGUUUUGACUUUUGAGUUCAUAAUACUGGUAAACCAUGGCAGUAUUUUAGCAAAAGGUAGUGCAACACUGCAACCUCUAUAAUUAUUAUUUAGGUAUUGUCAGGAUGGAAUUUGAAUCUGUUGGAGCAAGUCUAUCGCAGAGAUUUUAUGAACCAUAUUGCAUGCAAUUUGUACAUAAUCAUAUAUUUUCCCAUUAUAUUUAUAAACUGAC